rnacentral:rRNA from 1 species
GAGUUUGAUCCUGGCUCAGAGCGAACGCUGGCGGCAGGCUUAACACAUGCAAGUCGAGCGCCCCGCAAGGGGAGCGGCAGACGGGAUAGUAACACGUGGGAACGUACCCUUCAGUUCGGAACAACCCAGGGAAACUUGGGCUAAUACCGGACACGUCCGUAAGGAGAAAGAUUUAUCGCUGAAGGAUCGGCCCGCGUCUGAUUAGCUAGUUGGUGAGGUAACGGCUCACCAAGGCGACGAUCAGUAGCUGGUCUGAGAGGAUGAUCAGCAUCACUGGGACUGAGACACGGCCCAGACUCCUACGGGAGGCAGCAGUGGGGAAUAUUGGACAAUGGGCGCAAGCCUGAUCCAGCCAUGCCGCGUGGAUGAUGAAGGCCUUAGGGUUGUAAAGUCCUUUUAACGGGGAAGAUAAUGACGGUACCCGUAGAAUAAGCCCCGGCUAACUUCGUGCCAGCAGCCGCCGUAAG